rnacentral:rRNA from 1 species
AACGAACGCUGGCGGCGUGCCUAACACAUGCAAGUCGAACGCGAACGGGUCUUCGGACCCUAGUAGAGUGGCGCACGGGUGAGUAACACGUGGGCAAUCUACCCAGGGAUUUGGGAUAACCAGGGGAAACCCUGGCUAAUACCGAAUACGUCCAUGAGGCCUUCGGUCCUCAUGGAGAAAGGUGGCCUCUUCUCGAAAGCUGCCGUUCCUGGAUGAGCCCGCGGACCAUUAGCUUGUUGGUGAGGUAACGGCUCACCAAGGCCAUGAUGGUUAGCUGGUCUGAGAGGAUGAUCAGCCACACUGGGACUGAGACACGGCCCAGACUCCUACGGGAGGCAGCAGUGGGGAAUAUUGGACAAUGGGCGCAAGCCUGAUCCAGCCAUGCCGCGUGAGUGAUGAAGGCCCUAGGGUUGUAAAGCUCUUUCACCGGUGAAGAGUAAUGAUGGUAACCGGAGAAGAAGCCCGGCGUAACUUCGUGCCAGCAG